GGGCAUCGACAGCUACCAUGCAGUCGAGGGGUAUAGAGAGCUUGCUUUCUAGAGACCGGCGGAUGGGUGAGUAACGCGUAUGCAACCUACCUUUUACAGGGGAAUAGCCCGGAGAAAUUCGGAUUAAUGCUCCAUGGUUUAUAUGAAUGGCAUCGUUUGUAUAAUAAAGAUUUAUCGGUAAAAGAUGGGCAUGCGUAUCAUUAGCUAGUUGGUGUGGUAACGGCAUACCAAGGCUACGAUGAUUAGGGGUCCUGAGAGGGAGAUCCCCCACACUGGUACUGAGACACGGACCAGACUCCUACGGGAGGCAGCAGUGAGGAAUAUUGGUCAAUGGAGGCAACUCUGAACCAGCCAUGCCGCGUGCAGGAUGACGGUCCUAUGGAUUGUAAACUGCUUUUGUACGGGAAGAAAUGUAAUUACGUGUAAUUAUUUGACGGUACCGUAAGAAUAAGGAUCGGCUAACUCCGUGCCAGCAGCCGCGGUAAUACGGAGGAUCCGAGCGUUAUCCGGAAUUAUUGGGUUUAAAGGGUUCGUAGGCGGUUGAGUAAGUCAGUGGUGAAAUCUUAUAGCUUAACUAUAAAAUUGCCGUUGAUACUGCUUGACUUGAAUAGUAUGGAAGUAAUUAGAAUAUGUAGUGUAGCGGUGAAAUGCUUAGAUAUUACAUGGAAUACCAAUUGCGAAGGCAGAUUACUACGUACUUAUUGACGCUGAUGAACGAAAGCGUGGGUAGCGAACAGGAUUAGAUACCCUGGUAGUCCACGCCGUAAACGAUGGAUACUAGCUGUUCGGUUUUCGGACUGAGUGGCUAAGCGAAAGUGAUAAGUAUCCCACCUGGGGAGUACGUUCGCAAGA
rnacentral:rRNA from 1 species